GACCGGACAUAAAACCGGCAAGAUAUUCGGGUCACGGUUCGACCGGUUCAACCGGGUUCAACCCGGGUUUUUUAUUUAUUUUUUAUUUUCAUUUAUUUAUUAGUUUUAUUAAUUUAACAAUACUAUUUUCUCUAUAUUUUGCCUAUAUUACAUUCAACCUCUGUUCACCUCCCUUCAUAUUUUUUUAUUUAAUUUACUAAUUUCAUUUUUUAUUGUUUUAAAUUCCAUCAUUAAAAAAUAAUAAAAAAAAUCCACUUGUCUUUUUCUUCUUCUUCUCUCUUCACUCUCACCCACUCUCUUACCCAUUUCCUUUCUCUCUCUUCAAAAUUUACAGACGGUCCAGUACCCCUCUCUCUCUCUCCCUCUUCCCUUCUAUUCUCUCCCUUUUCUUCUUAUUCUAUUAUCUACGUAUUCAAACACCAUAUUUUCUACACUUUUAGCCAAAUCCGAUUUCCGACGACUCUCAUUUCUCCGAUCUGCCAAAAUCUAGCGGUUAUCGACCUUCGCCGCCUAGAUCUGGCCAUCUUGGACCACCACCGCACCUUUUUCGAAAAAAACCGGGGUCAUCCACCGGUUUCCGGUUUACUCCGGUUUUCCGGUCGAACCGGAUUUUUGCACAACAACCCCGGUUUUCG
rnacentral:lncRNA from 1 species